UAAAAAUUAGUAUCCUCUCUAUAAAUAGUGCCUUUUUCCAAUCCAGAUUGCCGCUCAAACCCUAAGCGCUCAUUGUGUGGUUUUGGUGUGAAUCUCUGCUCCCUUUGCCAGAUUUGGAUUGGUUGGUUCGGGUCGGGUGUUCCUCGUUGAUUCAGGU